CAAAAAUGCACAUGCUGUGAGCUCGAUGAGUAGGGCGGGACACGUGGUAUCCUGUCUGAAUAUGGGGGGACCAUCCUCCAAGGCUAAAUACUCCUGACUGACCGAUAGUGAACCAGUACCGUGAGGGAAAGGCGAAAAGAACCCCGGCGAGGGGAGUGAAAAAGAACCUGAAACCGUGUACGUACAAGCAGUGGGAGCACGCUUAGGCGUGUGACUGCGUACCUUUUGUAUAAUGGGUCAGCGACUUAUAUUCUGUAGCAAGGUUAACCGAAUAGGGGAGCCGAAGGGAAACCGAGUCUUAACUGGGCGUUAAGUUGCAGGGUAUAGACCCGAAACCCGGUGAUCUAGCCAUGGGCAGGUUGAAGGUUGGGUAACACUAACUGGAGGACCGAACCGACUAAUGUUGAAAAAUUAGCGGAUGACUUGUGGCUGGGGGUGAAAGGCCAAUCAAACCGGGAGAUAGCUGGUUCUCCCCGAAAGCUAUUUAGGUAGCGCCUCGUGAAUUCAUCUCCGGGGGUAG
rnacentral:rRNA from 1 species